GACGAACGCUGGCGGCGUGCUUAACACAUGCAAGUCGAACGGGCCUUGUCCCCUUUUUUUUUGGGGGUGGGGUUAGUGGCGAACGGGUGAGUAACACGUGAGUAACCUGCCCCUCACUUCUGGAUAACCGCUUGAAAGGGUGGCUAAUACGGGGUGUUCUGGCCUGCUCGCAUGGGUGGGUUUGGAAAGAUUCGACCGGUUUUGGUUGUUUUGGUGGGGGAUGGGCUCGCGGCCUAUCAGCUUGUUGGUGGGGUGAUGGCCUGCCAAGGCUUUGACGGGUAGCCGGCCUGAGAGGGUGGGCGGUCACACUGGGACUGAGACACGGCCCAGACUCCUACGGGAGGCAGCAGUGGGGAAUAUUGCACGAUGGGCGCAAGCCUGAUGCAGCGACGCCGCGUGAGGGAUGGAGGCCGUCGGGUUGUGAACCUCUUUCGCCAGUGAAGAAGGUCCUGCUCCUUGUGGUGGGGUUGACGGUAGCUGGGUUAAUGAAGCGCCGGCUAACUACGUG
rnacentral:rRNA from 1 species